UCCUACGGGGGGCAACAGUGGGGGAUAUUGCACAAUGGGGGGAACCCUGAUGCAGCGACGCCGCGUGGGUGAAGAAGCGCCUCGGCGCGUAAAGCCCUGUCAGCAGGGAAGAAAAUGACGGUACCUGAAGAAGAAGCCCCGGCUAACUACGUGCCAGCAGCCGCGGUAAUACGUAGGGGGCAAGCGUUAUCCGGAUUUACUGGGUGUAAAGGGGGCGCAGACGGCGAUGCAGGCCAGGAGUGAAAGCCCGGGGCCCAACCCCGGGACUGCUCUUGGAACUGCGUGGCUGGAGUGAAGGAGGGGCG
rnacentral:rRNA from 1 species